UCAUAACCCGGACAUCCGAUCUCGGGUAAGCAGGUGACGAGCGGAACCGUCACCCUAGGGUCGCCCGCCUCCAGUAGCUCCACCUUGGGCACCGCCUCCUCCCAUCCCUCACCCACGUCGCGGACGCUCUAGAGGAGGAAAUCCUAUAAAAGCCGGCGCCAGGUGGCGCCUGACACCCAUCGGGAACUGGAGGAGGACAGAUGGAGCUCACCUGCGGGUGAGGGCGCCCAGCCUGCAGCCCAGACUCCCGAUAUUGCCCUGGCCCACUUUGGAGCUCUGCUCUCAGCCUAGGGCAGGUGGAGGGCAUCUGGUGCGGCUUCAGGGCGUCUGCCCUGGGAGCUCCCGGCUGGCACAGCAGGACCCCAGCAGCCCAAGAGAGACCUGGAAAGUCUGGGCAGCUGCUGGGCUGGGGGCAGACUCUACACAAUUCCCAGGCUGAGCGUUGCAGACAUGCGCAGAAAAUUCCCCGAAUACAUCAGCAGGCCCUGGGCAGAGACUGUAAAACCAAAAUCAUGGAUUUACUCAUAGAACAGCAAUGGAUGAAUUGUUUUUAUCCUAUCAUUUCAAGCAGAGGAUGUCCUUCUGAGUCAUGCACACAAAGCUCAGGAGGGAGGGAGGAGGUAAUCAUUACACUUGACCACACGAGAGCUUAGACAAAAUCCGUCUCCGCAUAUGCCGCAAUGAAGUCCAAAGACAACAAUCAGGCAUAGAUCUGCUGUGCAUCUUCCACAUUACCAAUAUCCCUAAGUGGGUCAGUGUAGCAGGGUGCCUGCUGGCCAUAACAUUUUGACUAUAGCUCACUCCUGGAUACCAUACUCAUUGCAGCCAUGGAUACUCUUCCAACAGCUCCAGCAAUAGCAAUCGUGCCACCAUUUUGAAUUAAAAUGCCAUCUUCUGAUUCAGAUACAACUCCAAUGUCUGUGACAUCCUCUGCCUCCUUUAUGGAUCACCAUCCUGGUCAACUUCUUGCAACUCAGGACUCACUGGCCAUCACUAAGCCCAGCCUCACCACCCCACCCACACUGUUACCGUCAGCACCAACCACUUGGUGGGAGACCUUCAAUUAAUGGAGAAACCAGAUACAUAGGGAACCUGAUGAAGCAGUGGAAACCCUCACUUCAAUCUCCACAAGAAUUGAUGACAGCUGUGAAUUCUGCAGUUACACCAGAUUUACCAGGUGCUUGACAGUGCUAUGCAGGCUUGUACCCAGGUUCUUUAUGAUAGUGAUCUUUCCUUGGAAACGUGGACAUUUCUCAUGGCAGCAGAACCGGCAUCCAAGCUACAUUAUGCUUCAACUUCUACACACUGUUGGAUUCAAGCAUGGCACCUACAUGAGCACUCUGUGGGGCUGCGGGUUCCCUGGAGAGUCCUAUAGGCUCUGAGCCUUCCUCCUUGGUUGACAUUCUAGCCUUUCUUUGGGUGUCUUUUUGGUGCCAGCUUUUAUAGAGCAGUAACACUUCUCUGUCUGCAUUCUGUUCCAGACGAGUGCCCACAGGGGAGAAACCCUUCCCUGGCCAGACUCUUCCCUGUAUGGCUUCUCACAGAACACUGACACUUUUCUAACCCAUAGUUUCUAUAGGGGAUUAACACUUACAUCUGGACUAUUCCCUGAGGAUGCUCUGGAACUUCCAAUGUCAAAAAUGCUACCUAGAGAGCAGUCCCCAUCUGGGACUCCAGGUGUUUUUAUGUGUAGGUAUGAUGGAUCUUCUUCCUGUAAGCUUUGGACUAUAUGAUGGACCUAUAUUAUUAAGUGAUUAAAAUUGCAAUGGCAACUUUGGGGAUCCUUUGAAAUUCUAAAAGUUGGGGAUCCCCGGGUGGCUCGGCGGUUUGGCGCCUGCCUUUGACCUGGGGGGCGAUCCUGGAGUCCCGGGAUCAAGUCCCGCGUCGGGCUACCGGCAUGGAGCCUGCU